rnacentral:rRNA from 1 species
GACGAACGCUGGCGGCGUGCUUAACACAUGCAAGUCGAACGGAAAGGCCCUGCUUUUGUGGGGUGCUCGAGUGGCGAAAGGGUGAGUAACACGUGAGUAACCUGCCCUUGACUUUGGGAUAACUUCAGGAAACUGGGGCUAAUACCGGACAGGAGCUCCUGCUGCAUGGUGGGGGUUGGAAAGUUUCGGCGGUUGGGGAUGGACUCGCGGCUUAUCAGCUUGUUGGUGGGGUAGUGGCUUACCAAGGCUUUGACGGGUAGCCGGCCUGAGAGGGUGACCGGCCACAUUGGGACUGAGAUACGGCCCAGACUCCUACGGGAGGCAGCAGUGGAGAAUAUUGCACAAUGGGCGGAAGCCUGAUGCAGCAACGCCGCGUGCGGGAUGACGGCCUUCGGGUUGUAAACCGCUUUCGCCUGUGACGAAGCGUGAGUGACGGUAAUGGGUAAAGAAGCACCGGCUAACUACGUG